GAUGAAGAACGCAGCGAAAUGCGAUACGUAAUGUGAAUUGCAAAUUCAGUGAAUCAUCGAGUCUUUGAACGCACAUUGCGCCCCCUGGUAUUCCGGGGGGCAUGCCUGUUCGAGCGUCAUUUCACCACUCAAGCCUCGCUUGGUAUUGGGCAACGCGGUCCGCCGCGUGCCUCAAAUCGACCGGCUGGGUCUUCUGUCCCCUAAGCGUUGUGGAAACUUUCGCUAAAGGGUGUUCGGGAGGCUACGCCGUAAAACAACCCCAUUUCUAAGGUUGACCUCGGAUCAGGUAGGGAUACCCGCUGAACUUAAGCAUAUCAAUAAGCGGAGGA
rnacentral:misc_RNA from 1 species